UACGUAGGCAGCGAGCGUUGUUCGGAAUUACUGGGCGUAAAGAGUGUGUAGGCGGUGCUCUAAGUCUGAUGUGAAAUCUCACAGCUUAACUGUGAAACUGCAUUGGAUACUAUCCGGCUAGAGGAAUGGAGGGGAGACUGGAAUACUUGGUGUAGCAGUGAAAUGCGUAGAUAUCAAGUGGAACACCAGUGGCGAAGGCGAGUCUCUGGACAUUUCCUGACGCUGAGGCACGAAAGCCAGGGGAGCAAACGGG
rnacentral:rRNA from 1 species